CUGUUCUUUAAUUAAUAAAUCAAAUGUUGUUCAAUCCUAAUACACAAUUUCUUUCGCUUAUGAUAUUGCAGAGAUGUAACUCUCCACUGUUGGCUUAGUUACAAAUGUACUACUUUUUUUACCUGUAAGGCCAUCCUCUGAAUUGAGAUGCACUUCUGAUGGGGGCUUAAAUUGGGCAAUAUCGACUUUUUUUUACUUUAAAUAGGCUUUGACUAAUUGCCCUAUUGCCUAUUACUAAUUGCCUCCAUUGCCAGGUGUUCAGUCACUUCCCUUGGUUUUGAUGUUGUACAUUGAUGUUGUAGUAGCUGGUCCAACUUUCCUUCUAUGUUAUCAGGUGAAGCUGUGUGGGAUUAUUCCCUGACCUUUGGUGGGGUUGUUUUUGCUCUCUCCUUGGCCUCUUCAAAGGUUUCAUAGGACAGGGCCAUUCUUUGGACUUGUCUUGAACUGUAAGACUGACGAAGACUAAGUAGGUGAAGACUUCUUUUGAAGAACAGCUUCAGGGACAAGCACUAGAAUGUCACUAAGUGAUUUUUGAAAGUUUUCCUGGCAUUUUUCAUUGUAAGUGGCAUAUAUUGCUUCUCCAAUGCUUUUUAAUUUCCUUUUUGUGACCUUAGGUUCUCUCUGACGUUGUCUCUUGACAUUUGUGUUAAGUUCAGUCAGAGGUCCCUUCCUAGCCCCUUUGCAAAACUUACUUAAAAGGAAGGUAGAUUGUAAUUGAGAGUUGAAUAAAAGACAGGCCUGGCAGCUGGUCAGCGAGUAA